UACGUAGGGGGCUAGCGUUGUCCGGAAUCAUUGGGCGUAAAGCGCGCGUAGGCGGCCAGAUAAGUCCGGUGUGAAAGUCACAGGCUCAACCUGUGAAUGCCGCUGGAAACUGUCUGGCUUGAGUCCGGAAGGGGCGAGUGGAAUUCCUGGUGUAGCGGUGAAAUGCGCAGAUAUCAGGAGGAACACCUAUUGCGAAGGCAGCUCGCUGGGACGUAACUGACGCUGAGACGCGAAAGCGUGGGGAGCAAACAGG
rnacentral:rRNA from 1 species